rnacentral:rRNA from 1 species
GAUGAACGCUAGCUACAGGCUUAACACAUGCAAGUCGAGGGGCAGCAUAAUCGAAGCUUGCUUUGAUUGAUGGCGACCGGCGCACGGGUGAGUAACGCGUAUCCAACCUUCCCUAUAGUAGAGAAUAGCCCGGCGAAAGUCGGAUUAAUGCUCUAUGUUGUGUUUUGAGGACAUCUGACGAACACCAAAGGUUCACCGCUAUAGGAUGGGGAUGCGUCUGAUUAGCUUGUUGGCGGGGUAACGGCCCACCAAGGCGACGAUCAGUAGGGGUUCUGAGAGGAAGGUCCCCCACAUUGGUACUGAGACACGGACCAAACUCC